AUGAAACAUAUCAUAUUGUUUACAAGCUUCUUAGCUACUGCUAGUGUUGAAAGGGUGUUCUCUUCAAUGAGCCAUGUGAAGAAUAAGCUAAGGAACAAAAUGGGUGAUGAAUAUUUGAACAAUUGUUUGGUUACAUUUGUUGAGAGAGAAUUUUUCAAUCAAGUGAAGGAUGAAGAUGUCAUCAAUCUCUUCCAAAAAGGCGACCGCAAAGUUAUAUUGUAA
rnacentral:rRNA from 1 species